rnacentral:rRNA from 1 species
UACGGGGGGGGCAAGCGUUGUUCGGAGUUACUGGGCGUAAAGGGCUCGUAGGCGGCUAACUAAGUCAGACGUGAAAUCCCUCGGCUUAACCGGGGAACUGCGUCUGAUACUGGAUGGCUUGAGAUUGGGAGAGGGAUGCGGAAUUCCAGGUGUAGCGGUGAAAUGCGUAGAUAUCUGGAGGAACAUCAGUGGCGAAGGCGGCUUCCUGGCCCAAAACUGACGCUGAGGUGCGAAAGCGUGGGGAGCAAACAGG